UGGGGAAUUUUGGACAAUGGGCGAAAGCCUGAUCCAGCCAUGCCGCGUGCAGGAUGAAGGCCUUCGGGUUGUAAACUGCUUUUGUACGGAACGAAAAGACUCCUUCUAAUAAAGGGGGUCCAUGACGGUACCGUAAGAAUAAGCACCGGCUAACUACGUGCCAGCAGCCGCGGUAAUACGUAGGGUGCAAGCGUUAAUCGGAAUUACUGGGCGUAAAGCGUGCGCAGGCGGGUAUGUAAGACAGAUGUGAAAUCCCCGGGCUCAACCUGGGAACUGCAUUUGUGACUGCAUAGCUAGAGUACGGUAGAGGGGGAUGGAAUUCCGCGUGUAGCAGUGAAAUGCGUAGAUAUGCGGAGGAACACCGAUGGCGAAGGCAGCUGGCUACGCAUAUAUUGACACUGAGGCACGAAAGCGUGGGGAUCAAACA
rnacentral:rRNA from 1 species